rnacentral:lncRNA from 1 species
UCUUGUCAGUUAUAAUUUUUUUAUUUUUUUAAAUGAAAAAAAUUUUAGGAGUUGAAAUCCUAAUUUGCUAUAUUUUAGUAGUGCUAUGGAAGGUUUGGACUCCAAGUAUAUUAAGAUGAGGUUAUUGUUUUGCUCAAUAAAUUAUACCCUCAUCUUGUAUUGCUUUAGAAAUUGAUGUCAUACGGGGAGGAUGAGAUUUUGCCAUGUCUACGGAGU